rnacentral:lncRNA from 1 species
AUGUUUGAACGCAGUCUCCAGGGCUCCACCUGCACAGGCUGCCAAGAAAGCUGGAGCUCUGGCCAUCUCUUCCCAGCCAUCUCGGGGCUCCUCCACGGGAAGUGGGCUCAGAGGAGCGGAGGGGCCCAGCUGCAGCGAGAGCCCGGGCAGGGCCACGCUCCUGGCUCCCAUAGCUGGUGGACAUCCAGCAGCGGCGAGGUCGUUUCUGAUGGCCCCCAGCCCCUCUGCUGCCUCCUGCCUCCCGCCAAUCUUCCUGGCCUUGCCCCUCAGAUAAGGGGAGACGCACGAGCUCACUGCCUUGUCCCAGCCUGCACCACCGCCCAAGGGGCGGCUGCCCGGGGCCUCCCUCCGAGGCCGGCCAGCCCCUUGGCCAGACUCAGAGGGCUCGGCAGGCGGCUGGGGAGCGAGAGGCCGGGGCUCAGUUCCAGCCCCAUGAGGACUCUUGCCCUUUCUGGCCUCCGGGCCUUUGCUCUCACUGGCCCUGAUGCCCUGUUCCCAUCUGGAAAACUCCCCACACCCUGGGGGAUCCCCCCCUUCUAUGAAGAGUGUGCUGUCACUUCUUCUGAGCCUGUACACGGCUGUGUCCCCUACCCGUCACAGCUGGGUGGCCUACUACCCCCAGCCCAGGGCAUCGCCAGGGCCUGGCACAGCGUCGGUGGUCCUGCCAUAAGCCGCCACCCCUUGUGAGCUCCUCUGAAGCCAGGCCGUCUGGAGGCCCUCCCUCUACAUCACCCCAUCUGCCUGCAAGAGAUGGAGGGUUUGGCCACCCCUCUCGGCAAGUCGCCCGGGCCGGGACCUGGAAGAGGCUCGUCCGGGCCUUCAGGGAGCCCCACAUCGCCUCCAGAAGAGGAAAGGAGAGCUGCCCCUCCUAAGCCGUCAAUUUCCCACUCCGCCUCCGGUGAUCUAAACCCAAGUUGGAGUCCGAGAGCUAAAAUAAUAUACAUUCUCCGGUGACUAAUGUGGGGGGAAAUCCAGGGCUUCUCAGGAAAUAAGAGUCCACAGGCUGUGUUACCUUCUGCUGGGAAACUCCCAGUUCCCACCAGAAAAACAAGAAAGACCAUCAAUUUCCAGGCAGCCGAGCCAGUGCAGGGCCCAGUCUGCGAGCGCGUUCCGCCGCCGGCGGCACGCGGAACACCUGUUCUGCAGCGGGAACAGACCUCUUCCGAAUAAACACACGGCCUCGGGGAAGGAGCCUGGCUGG